AGGUGUGGGGUGCUACAUCUGUCACCCCAUUGAUCGACAGGGUUGAUGCGCCUGAUCUGGCUGGCUAGGCCGGUGUCCCUGUCCUGCCUCACCACUCCAUGUGUGUCCCCCCUGAAGCUGCGGGCUUGAUUGAAGAGGACGACCUUCCCCGAAUAGAGGAGGACUGGUCUUCAAAGGGUCAAGGGUAUAGGAGUAGCCAUGGCUCCCCUGCAAGAACCUCCAAACAAGCUCUCAAGAACUCUGCCUUUCGAUUCCUUUCUGGAACAGUGAGGGUAAAGCAUGCAGUUUUGCUUUUGUGGUACAGCAAGUGCUG
ensembl:misc_RNA 7SK 7SK RNA